CACAGAUAAAACUUGUAGAUUACAAUGUGUUGUGAAUACAUUUUCCCCCAGAGAGUUGGUAAUUAAAUAUUUGCCACCACACCUGUGCCUCAAGGCUUUUCCAGAUUGAUAGAACAUAUCAGAGAAUUUGUAUGCUGGAGCCAUAGUCACUGAGAAGCCAGGAUCGCCUCCAUGCCAUGAUGAGGAAUUGGAAAAGGACUUUGUGUAGGCACAAGAAAAAGAAGUCUGAUCCCUCAUACUGUAGAUCUUCUUAAUACUUGAAGAUAGUUCUCAUGUCAUAUUAUAUCUUCUCUCUGCCAAGGUGGAAAACGGAAUGGCAGACAUAGAAGUCAUCCAAUUGAUCAAGAACUCCUGAUCAUCUUUGCUACAGACAAAAAUGAAGAAAAAAAAAGUCCUGCCUUGGAGAAGGUGACAUUCUACCGAAAAGUCCCUUCCAAAGCUGAGAUUUUAUGAUUCUAUGAUCCUGUGAAACUUCCCAUCAUCCUCAAAGAUGAUGAAUUGAUGUUGAUUAUUUCAGGAAACCCCAAGAAGGUGAUGGUAGGGGAAUUAUCUGGGUGUCUUAUCUUGCAUUAUUCUAAGGAAAUCCCGGUACUUUCAGAACCUUGCAUCCAACUGAUGAAGCACCACAUUUAAAUUUGAGUUAUAAGUGUGGCUCUUGCCAGUUGGCUGAACAAGAACCCAUUGACUUCAUUGGGAAUGCAUGUCAUCAUUGAACCAUGGACUUUAAAUUGAAGAAAAACCUUGGUCUUAAUCUAACCUCCAUGGUUUUUGGUUUCUUUUUUCUCUUUUUAAAAAGAAUAAG